rnacentral:lncRNA from 1 species
ACGCCUGUAAUCCCAGCACUUUGGGAGGCCAAGACGGGUGGAUCACGAAGUCAGGAGAUCGAGACCAUCCUGGCUAACAUGGUGAAACCCCGUCUCUACUAAAAACACACACACACACACACACAAAAAUUAGCCGGGCAUGGCGGCGGGUGCCUGUAGUCCCAGCUACUCGGGAGGCUGAGGCAGGAGAAUGCUGUGAACCCAGGAGGCGGAGCUUGCAGUGAGCGGAGAUCACACCUCCAGCCUGGGUGACAGAGCGAGACUCUGUCUCAAAAAAAAAAAAAAAAAAAAAAAAGGCAGGAAACAACAGGUGCUGGAGAGGAUGUGGAGAAAUAGGAACACUUUUACACUGUUGGUGGGACUGUAAACUAAUUCAACC